rnacentral:rRNA from 1 species
GAUGAACGCUGGCGGCGUGCUUAACACAUGCAAGUCGAACGGAAAGGCCCUGCUUUUGUGGUGUUCUCGAGUGGCGAACGGGUGAGUAACACGUGAGUAACCUGCCCUUGACUUUGGGAUAACUUCAGGAAACUGGGGCUAAUCCCGGAUAGGAGCUCCUGCUGCAUGGUGGGGGUUGGAUAGUUUCGGCGGUUGGGGAUGGACUCGCGGCUUAUCAGCUUGUUGGUGGGGUAGUGGCUUACCAAGGCUUUGACGGGUAGCCGGCCUGAGAGGGUGACCGGCCACAUUGGGACUGAGAGACGGCGCAGAGUCCUACGGGAGACAGCGGUCGGAAAUAUUGCACAACGGGCCGAAGUCUGAUGCAGCAACGCCGCGUGCGUGAAGACGGCCUUCGGGGUGUAAACCGCUUUCGCCUGUGACGAAGCGUGAGUGACGGUAAUGGGUAAAGAAGCACCGGCUAACUACGUG